UAAAGUUCGUUAAAAUAUUUUUAAAUACACAAUUCAUCAAAAUUAGAAAUGGAAAAAUAAAGUUUAUUUUUGAUUUGGUUUAAAAUACCAUAUUGUCUAAUUUUGUCUUUUAACUGACAUACUUUGAAUGGGCCAAGUUGAAAAAUAUUUAUAAAAUAUGAAAUAUGGGUUUGGCAAGUAAGGAAUUGAUUAAAAAAUAAUUGUAUUUGAAAGUCACUACGUUAUGAGAAAUUGAUCCUGUAGGUAGUUGAUGUUUGUAAUUUAAAAUAAUAGACAUAUUAAGGAAAUUAGAACAUAGUUCAACUCUGAAUAUUUAAACAAUUGAUGGCAAUCAAAUUGGUUCAGAUAUUGUAUGAAGAAUAUAACACAGCGAGAUAUAAUGGACAAUGGAGAAUAUGAAUUACAUAAUAUUAUAUUGAAUUUUGAGAGGAUAUAAUAGUUUAGGGUUGUCGACAUAAAAGUAGCUACCGCCUACCAUCAGUUUCCAAGAAUCAUAUUUUUACAGUGAACACGGAUUCUGAUAUUAUAAUAUUAGAACAUAGUCAUUCAAAAUAUAAUAUAAUAUGAUAAUGGAAUCGCAAUAAUGCUUUGGCUAGUUUUCUGUACAUGAAUAAUAAUAUGGUACUAUUAGGAGAUAUUAUUUAACGAAGUGGAGAAAAGAGGAAA